CAGAACAGGACUUCUGCUGUCUUCUGCCUUCCUCUUUUUUCCUUGGGAUCUUCAGGGCAAACUCGAUCAGUCCUGCCAGCUUGGGACCUCCUGCUCAGCUUCUCCUCCUCCUCCUGCUUCUCCAGUCUCCAGAGAACACAGUUUCACAGACCAGCUCAGCCCCGUUGAUGGUGAGUGGGUUUCUGGGGGAGUCGGUAACUCUUCCCCUGAAGCUUCCUGCAGGAGGGAACAUCUAUUCCAUCACCUGGCUUCACAAUGGAACAUCUAUCAUCUUCAUAGACCCAAAUGACGCACGAAUCCUAGUGACUGCUCCCAAACGGAAAGAUGCACUGAACGUCGCCCAGUCCUACUCCUUGCAGCUCAGUAACCUGACUAUGGCAGACAUAGGAUCUUACAGAGCCAUGAUAGCCACAGAGACAUCUUCAGUGUUUUCCAGUUACACUCUGAGGAUCUUCAAGUGACUGCCCAGGCCUCACAUUAGAGUGGAUUCUGUCAUCUCUGAGAAUGGGAUGUGUCAUGCCACCUUGAGGUGCUCUGUGGAGGAAGGAGGAGAGAACGUCACAUAUGAGUGGACAUCAAUGGGACAAGGGGCUGUUGUGUCUAAGAAAGGAUCCAUCCUCAAUGACUCCUGGAGCCUCGGUGAUCUGAAUUGGACCUACACCUGCACAGCUAUGAACACUGUUAGCAAUAGCGUCUCCAACCUCAUCCAUGCUGGGCAGCUUUGUGCAGUUUCCAAAGCAGCUACAGGCACUUACUGCCCAGUGACAUGGAUUCUCCUGGUGAAGGUGCUUCUUCUCCUAUUUUCCUGGGGAUUCUAGGAGCUUGGCAUAUCCAGACACAUGUACUCAGCAAACACCUUAUGUCUAACUCAGGUCCAUGAAGGCCACCAGUGCCCCAGGAAAGUCUGGAUGAGGACAUCACUUCUCUGUGGCUCAGUUAAAUUAUAUUACUUCCCUGUACUCUUUUCACAGUGUAGUACUACGGAUUGUCAAAGACCAAUGGGAUAAGAUUUCAUAUCUUGCAUGUGUGAGCCCACGUGUGUGCACAAUGCAUGAGAAUGAGGAAUUUGGGGCAAAAAUAAAUAAAAUAAUUGUAUCAAUAUCAUAUGUUAUCUAUUCUAAGAAGAAAUUUCCCCCAUAAUUUAAGGUUUCUGAAAUCAAGAUGAGUCAUAACAUUAAUGUGUAGAGCUAAAAGGGUAGCGUAUUUUUCUCCUGAAAUACUGUUAUUAAAAUAAUACUGCUUUUAAAAAUCAAUGGUGUCGGGGCUGGCCCCGUGGCCGAGUGGUUA